AGGAACGCUAGGAGGAGGGAAUUCGCCUCAGCAGGGCAAACCCUAGUCAGUUGGAGUAGGACUUGAGUUAGAAAUUGCGGUCUCACCGCCUACUAGUGGGAAAAACGUAUUUCUAGAAGGCUUCCGCGCAGCCGCCAGCCGUGGGCUGGGACUACAGGUCCCUGCCGGCAGGAGUCCAGGAGCGGGGGCGGGAGAGGGCGGCGGUGGGGAGACAGGCAUGGUGGGAACUUUGGUAGUGGCCUCUCCCGUUCACGGCAGGUAGGUCUUCAUUUUAAUGUUGACGGCAGUUAGACCUUGGCACUCUGGGGAAUAGCUACAGCCAAGAGAAAGGAAACGCUUUUUCAGUGAAAGGACUUUUGCUUUUUGCAAAUCUGUCAAAACCCUGGUUAGUGAGUGCCUGAAAUUGGGAGUCCGUCCUCAUACAUAACGCGCAUUUGGUGGGGGCUUGCUGAAUUGAAGGAAAUUUGUCGUCUUGCCUUCAGAUUCGUGGCACCUCACAACUGAAUAACAGACUUUGAAUAUCUGUCCUAGUCUAAUUCAACAUUUUACAAAGAAAGUGAUUUGCCCAAGGUCUCCCAGAAUAUUCUUAGCAGAGCCCAAACUAGAACUCAAAUCCUUUUGCUUUCACAGCAACACCGAAUUGCCUCUCACUAAGGAACGUAAACGUGAUACUGUGACAGAAGUGAAGGAUUUAAUCCGUGGACUUCUUUUGGUCAUUUAUACCCACAAACAACGAUUUUUACGAAUUAAAUUGGUCAGGCAGUUUGGUUAAAAUAAGAAAUAUUAGAAAAAUUAGGCCCCAUUUCCCAGAUGAAUGUUGAAAAGCAGCGUGGAAUUUAAUGAUAAACUCCUUCAAGAAAACAGAAAUAACAACUUACAGAUGUGCCCUUCCACAUCUCUUCCUAUGCAUUUCUAUACAGAGACGACCAUUCAGCUUACUGUGGAGGAAGAAUGGUCAGGCUACCUGGAAAGGGUGAAAAGCAGUGCAAAAUUCAGAGACUUACUGAAUGAGGAGGCUGAGGAAGAGGGAAGAGUCAUGAUUCCCAGGUUCCACUGGAUGAAUGAUGGUGCCAUUUACCCCAAAUGGAGAAAAUAAGUGUUACCCUAUCCAUUAUAUAAAGUUAUUAAAUUCCCUGGGAAGUAUUGUGGAGAGCUUGCUAAGAGUUCACUUAAUGGAUAUCAGGAAUACAGAGAUGAAAUUCACCAGCAGACUUUUCAGAAAAAGUGUCUUAAGU